rnacentral:rRNA from 1 species
GAUGAACGCUGGCGGCGUGCCUAAUACAUGCAAGUCGAGCGAACGGACGAGAAGCUUGCUUCUCUGAUGUUAGCGGCGGACGGGUGAGUAACACGUGGAUAACCUACCUAUAAGACUGGGAUAACUUCGGGAAACCGGAGCUAAUACCGGAUGAUAUUUCGAACCGCAUGGUUCAAAAGUGAAAGACGGUCUUGCUGUCACUUAUAGAUGGAUCCGCGCUGCAUUAGCUAGUUGGUAAGGUAACGGCUUACCAAGGCAACGAUGCAUAGCCGACCUGAGAGGGUGAUCGGCCACACUGGAACUGAGACACGGUCCAGACUCCUACGGGAGGCAGCAGUAGGGAAUCUUCCGCAAUGGGCGAAAGCCUGACGGAGCAACGCCGCGUGAGUGAUGAAGGUCUUCGGAUCGUAAAACUCUGUUAUUAGGGAAGAGCAUAUGUGUAAGUAACUGUGCACAUCUUGACGGUACCUAAUCAGAAAGCCACGGCUAACUACGUG